CAAUUAUGAAAUCCUUUUCUUUGCGCCACUCCUAUCUCAUUGCUGUCACUGCCCACAUUCAAAGCCAGAACCGGAGGCCCCUCCUUCAGCAUCUGCCAGUUCCAAGCCUAUGCUACUGACAGUCCCCACCCCUGGGAGUGUUUGCACAGAUAUCGAGCAAAGCACAGUGCUUCUUUAUUAUAAAAUACUCAGUAGUUUCCUAUUUCAGACUUUUUAUACUCGUUUGUGAAAGCCCCACAGUCUGAUGAAGCUGUUUUUCCUAACAUGAUCAGUCCAUUGCCUUUUUUUACUCAAUGUGUUUCUUCUGCAUGAAUUGUCCUUCUUAAUUCCUGCAUCUUUAAAAAUACCCCUCCAGUUCCAUUUUCUUCAAGAAGCUAUUCCAGGUCUCCACAGAUAAAACUGGUCUCUCUCUUCCUUCACUCUCAGUACUAGAUCCUGCCUUACUUAUUGUAUAGCUACAUCAGAAUGAAAUUCUUAACACAGGUACCUGGAUCCCUAGAAAAAGGAAAGAUUCUUGGUCAUCUUGUUGACUCUAGGGCCUGUCAGAGGAGACCCUGCACAUUGGUUGUGAAUGAUCACCUCCUCAGUUUACAAUGUCAACAGUCAACUCAAUGGUGAGAGAGAGAGAAAACAGCUUACUGUCCAAUAAUCAGAGGAAGAUGUUGAUUCUAAAUUUUCACAAAAAC
rnacentral:lncRNA from 1 species